ensembl:misc_RNA 7SK 7SK RNA
GGAUGUGAGGGCAAUCUGGCUGUGACAUCUGCUACCCCAUUGAUUAUCAGGGUUGAUUUGACUAAUCUAGCUGGCUAGACGGGUGUCCCCAUUCUCCCCCACCACUCCAUGUCUUUCUCUCCCGAAGUUGUGUACUUGGUGGAAGAGGAUGAGCAUCCUUGAUAGAGGAGGGCCAUUUCCUUGGUCAAGGGCAAAUGAAUAGCUGCACUCCCCUAGUAGAACCUCCGAACAAGCUCUCAAGUGCUGAGAUUAUAGGUGUGCACCACCAGGCCCAGCCCAAGGUUUCUUCUUAUGUACUUG